rnacentral:rRNA from 1 species
GACGAACGCUGGCGGCGUGCUUAACACAUGCAAGUCGAACGGAAAGGCCCUGCUUUUGUGGGGUGCUCGAGUGGCGAACGGGUGAGUAACACGUGAGUAACCUGCCCUUGACUUUGGGAUAACUUCAGGAAACUGGGGCUAAUACCGGAUAGGAGCUCCUGCUGCAUGGUGGGGGUUGGAAAGUUUCGGCGGUUGGGGAUGCACUCGCGGCUUAUCAGCUUGUUGGUGGGGUAGUGGCUUACCAAGGCUUUGACGGGUAGCCGGCCUGAGAGGGUGACCGGCCACAUUGGGACUGAGAUACGGCCCAGACUCCUACGGGAGGCAGCAGUGGGGAAUAUUGCACAAUGGGCGGAAGCCUGAUGCAGCAACGCCGCGUGCGGGAUGACGGCCUUCGGGUUGUAAACCGCUUUCGCCUGUGACGAAGCGUGAGUGACGGUAAUGGGUAAAGAAGCACCGGCUAACUACGUG